rnacentral:misc_RNA from 1 species
UUUCCGUAGGUGAACCCGCGGAAGGAUCAUUAUUGUAUAACCGAGGUGCGAGGGCUGUCGCUGACCCGAAAGGUCGUGCACGCCCGAGUGCCCUCACACAUCCAUCUCACCCCUAUGUGCACCACCGCGUGGGUCCCCCUUUGGCUUGUUCGGCGGGGGGCUUACGUUUUCACACAAACUUUGUAUGCAGUGUAGAAUGUAUUUUUUGUUUUUGCGAUCACGCAAUCAAUACAACUUUCAACAACGGAUCUCUUGGCUCUC